CUGAAAUAUUACAACAUUAUGACAAGCUAUAGAACACAGCCGUUCAUCUUCCCUGGUCAAAAGAUGGUGCCAUGGCAACACAGUUCAUCACUGCCACGACUGGAAGUCAUUAUUUACAGAUACAAAAUGCAUGUAUGUAUGUAUGUAUGUAUUGUAAUGUAUUGUAUUGUAUUGAACGUGCAUAUAUUAAGUACAUUAUGCAUAUAGAAUGCAUCCAGUGAUGUAUCAAACAAUUGUCUUUGUAGGACAGACAGUAUGCAAAAUCAACCCCCUUCCAAUGCUAUAUAAAUGACCUGUUCUGACACAACCUUCCUCACUGCAACCACCCUGUCUGCUAGUACCCAGACAGACACUGCCAGAGAUCCAACAGAGAAACAUGUUUCUUACAUCCCUACUCCUCCUGGCAGUCCUGCCAUAUAUACACAGCAUUAGUUUGACCUCCUCCCCUGCUCAACUCAAAGCUCCUGGAGAUUCAGUGAAACUCUCUUGCCAAAUCUCUGGCUAUGCCCUGACAGACUAUGGUACAGUUUGGAUACGACAUCAGCCAGGGAAAACACUGGAGUGGAUUGGGAUCAUCUGGAGUGAUGCAUCCAUCAACUCUGGAGCCUCUUUUAAGAGCAGAUUCACCAUCUCCAGAGACAGUAGUAAUGUACUGUACUUAGACAUCACCAGUCUGCAGUCUGAGGACACAGCUGUGUAUUAUUGUGC